GAUCUGGUAGCAUAAUGGUUAGUGCAUCUGCUUCAAAUGACAAUGUCUGGAUCUUAUCGGCGGAAGGUCCCCGUUCGAUUCGGGGUCAGGUCA